rnacentral:lncRNA from 1 species
UUUGCUCAUUUGAGCCAUAUAUUAUGAUUGUAUAUAUUAUUUGUGCGUUUUGGAUUUUGUUUGUUGUCUUAGGACCUUAAAAUACUUAAUAAUAACAAAAACCCUAAAAAGAUAUCUGGUGGACUGUUGAUCUUGAUCUGAGCCUUUUGGACUUAGGAUUAGGAAACACUCCCUAUGCAAAAAGGACUUGGCCAAUCCCAACAGUCUGAGACUGAGCUAUUGUGAACUGAGCCUUCAUCUGA